rnacentral:tRNA from 2 species
GGAGGGUUGGCAGAGUGGUAAUGCAGUGGUUUCGAAAACCAUCGGGUGAAAGCCCUCGUAGGUUCAAAUCCUACACCCUCCG